GGAGGAAGAGAGAACUGCAAGUUGAGGAUCUAUGUGGAUAUUUUCCAUAAACAAGGUGAAAGCUCUUGAUGUGAGGCACCAUUUGGAGCUGUGAUGUUUUUUUUAAAGGACUUUCAGGAGCCUGGACUCAGGCCAUGCAUUGAAGCUGGGAGAAAUAGAAGUUUUACUUGCCAGAGGAGAGCUCCUGCUAAAGGGAAUGCAGCUGUCAUUGCAAGGACUGUCUCCCUUGAUUUCGUAUUGCUGAUGUUGCGUUUCAGAAAAGCAUUCAUUCUGCCAUGGAUCCUCGUCGUGGGCAGCGAUCGACAUGAAGAAGAGCACGGUAGGAAAAAGCAAAAACGCAGAUCUGAGUGUUCUUAAAAUUGGGAGUGUGCAGAGUGGUUGCAGCAGCUUCCUGGUUAGCUGUUGAAGCAGAGGAAAAGGCUGGGUUAGGGCAGUUUUAAAUAAGGCGCUCUAUAGGCAUAGGUCCAAUAGGAGCUAGGAGUGAAUCAACUGGCUAUCGUCUGGUUGAGGUAGCUACUAGCCACUGGCUGUGGAUCAGCGCUUGAUGUCGAGACCUGACAGAACUAACGCUAUGCUUCAUUUCUAAUUAAAACGUGAAAAUGUAAACAAGCAUGUGCAGCAGUCCCGACUUUAGUCCAGUUAAUCAAAGCCCUGUUGUUGAAAUGAGUUUUACUGAGUUUAUUUCUUAUAGUCUUUUCUUUUUAUUAGUUCUUAGUUAGACAACAGAGCUUGUGGUGCUGUUCCUGAAUAUAGCCGAUUCAGCUUAAGGCAGAGUUGUGCUGUCCUAAAUAUGUCAGCACAAAUAGCUACUGUGUGUGUGUGUGUGUGUGUGUGUGUGUGUGUGUGUGUGUGUGUGUGUGUGUGUGUGUGUGUGUGUGUGUGUGUGUGAGUGUGUGUUAUCAGUGAAUGUACAUUAUCUCCUGGGAGGUUUGCAGUUCCACACGAUACCACAGAGCAGAGUGUCACACCAAUCAGAGUGGAGGUCAUAGGGCAGAUUGAAUAUCAGAUGAACCACAUGACCGGAGAUGACCAUGAGGUGACCAUGACGGUGUUAAUAGGACUGCUUGGUCAAGCUUAAGUUUGGUUACAGACUCAGUGUGCGUCUGCACUCUGAAAAUGUGAGUGUGAAUGUGUGAGCACCCAUGUGAGGGUGGGAUGGAGUGAGGAUACAUGAGGUUAAUUCCACGCUGCCAGAUUACGGGGUUACUGAGGUUAGAAAAUGAAUUAGCUCUAUUAACUAUAAUUAACUUACAGUCCACUCUCUCUCUAACACUCCCCCUUUCACAAGCAAAAAGCCUCUGUUUCCCACAGUGCUGUUGGCCCAUAGUGCGUUAUUAUAAUGCAUAUAAUAGCAUUUUUUGGAAUAGGUUUUUUUAGCAUAGAAGUGUUAAGAAAAGGUUUUAAACUGGGACUUAGAGGAAAGUUAAGGGAGAUACAGAGCAUGCAGAUAAUAGUGGUCAUGGGAUGUUAGUUAUGGUCAAGGUCGGGGUCAGACAUACCGCAGCAUUAAGAACUCUGACACAGAGCUCAUGAAAGCAAUUAUUAAGGUUAUUAAGUCCUCAGAGGUCUGCAAAAGAAAUUGAAAACCAGGGCUUAAUUGAGGACUUUUGUAGAGCUGUUUCUAGAGAGUUCUUAGUGAUAAACAUCCUAGAAAAAAUCUAAGCAAAAUAAGGUAAUAACCAUAUCAUUAAAGAAACAAUUAGUAGAUUGUGGAUAACAAGUCAACAGGACAUUGUAUUGUGGUGUAUUCACACAAGAUAUUUCAGUUUUUAACAUGAUACUUAGCCGUAAGCAUAAACUUUAUCAGAUCAAAUUCUAAAAUUAACAGGAAUUUUUCUGGCUCAGUGUUUUUUUGUUUUUUCUACCUUUUGUGCCUUUGAGCACACCAUCAUUGCACUCCAGCUGCCACAGUGAACAAACAUGAUGACACUGCUAGGCUCUGAAAUGGCCCACUUCACUUUGAACUGCCUGAGUGCUGAGUAGACAAGUCAAAAGUCAUCUACAUUUUGUGCCAAACAAAAUGAAAAUAUAACUAAAAUACUUCAGAUUUGACCCAUGAGCCAAGCCUACAGGUGCUCCCGAAUAGACUGAUGUAAGCAUGGAAAAAAGCUGGCGGAGUGCUAUUUUAAAGUGGCUCUGUUUUCACGGUUACUCCAAUAUGCUUUACUGUCACGAGUGACAGUUUCACUGAAAUGGGACUUUGGAAAAAGAGACAUCAACCAAACUAAAACUCCUGAAGUACAAAUAAAGUUAACCAACGUAAAACUAAAAACCCUCAGAAUGUGUGUUCCUCUGAUCAGUCACCAUUGCGUUCUAGCUCUGGACAGCACGCGUCAAGUCAUGUCCUCACUGGAAAUGUAGCAGCAGUUCUGUUUUGAGGGUUAUCAACCUGAGUGAUUUUCAGUUAUUGCUCCAAUGAGACUAAGAGAAUGUGUGAUUCUCAAUAGAUGGAGAAAAGAAGAAUGAGUUGUCCUCAAAGUCCUUUCAUGAGAAACCAACCUUUUUCAAGUUUGGGCAGGAGCUCAGUAAAACCAAACAUAACCUGACAAUUGCAUUUAAUCUUCCAGCUAUUUUGUGUUGAAUGAAAUCUUGAAAAUGCCCAAAACAAAUUUGAGUUCAAUGUUUGUUUCUUGGAGUCCAACAGUUGGAAGUGCAUGAAAGGUCUCAGUAACUGCCAACAUUUUCAUUAUAUCCAGUGUGCUUACACAACUGAGAGAGUUUUGUUUUGCUCAAACAGCAAUGAAAAGAAAAUAAGAAAGGUAAGCAUCUUUUUCAAAAACUAUUUUUUUCCUUUCCAGCAGAGAAGAAAUUUUAAGAUUCCAGUUUAUCAAAUUAAAACAAAUUAAAACAAACAUCGACAAACAGCACAGUGGGUCUGAUUUAACAAAGGACCCUGUGAGAUCAUUAAACUUCCAGAUUACCUCCCCAAAGCCCCACAUUAGAGUUUUUUCAACACUUCCAUGAUCAUUACCAGACACAAAGAUUGGUAAUAAUGAUAAAACCAUCUACAACACAUGGAUGUUUACUUCUUUUGUGGUCUGUUCAGGACAUUUCUUUAAUGAUUGGUCCAUUACACUGUCAUCUGUCAGAGCUUAACAAACAGAUGUGGGGUAAACUGCAAGUAUUACUUAUUUCAAUCAUUUGGAAACAUGGCUCUUUUUCCAGCACCCAUAAAGCUCAUUAAGUACGUGACAUGUUGUCCCCCAUGUGUUUGAUCCAUUUAGUAUAGAAAACUAUAAAAACCCCAACCCUCUUGACUCUGACUCCAAACUUGAUGCAAAGAUUAGCUGAUUUGUGUGUGUAUGUGUGUGUGUGUGUGUGUGUGUGUGUGUGUGUUCAAAUCUCUUAUUAAACAUUGACCUCUUGAAUUGAUUUAAAAUGUAAGAAAGGUUAAGAUUUGAAACCGAUUUAAGAAAAGUUUGGUGUUGAGUUCAGAUGAUUAAUGUACGAUAGAGAAACUCACACAUGCACGUCCUAUGUCAAUAGACUGUAUAUACUACGGACAACUUAACUCUGCCUUCCAUCAUUAUAUGAAUUUGAAGCUAAAUUGCUCUUGGUAUUUCCGGGUUUUUCUCCACUUCCUGAUAACCACCACUUGCGCAGUAGCAUUGUACGCAUUCAGCGGGAGAGUCGCUGUGAUGACGCUCAGCUCAACCAGCGUAUCUCCCAGGUGAGCUAUGCAAUCUUCAUAUGCCCAUAGGCUGUAUCAAGUGUCAAUCAUAGAAGACACGAACCCCCUAAUAACUUUUAAAACUGGAGCUGUACAGAAAAAAAGAGGACCUGAGAACAAACCAGUCUUAUAGUAACUUCAUAUCAACAUAGCAACCAGGAGGGAGGAAAAUUUAAAUUCUGUGUAAUUAAUUUUUAAAGUUUGUCCACAGCCCCAUAGGGAUUGCUGGAGGAGGUGAGAUCUAUGACCUAUACUGCGGCCCUGUUCUCAGAGUGGCUUCACCCAGCAAGGAGGCAGAUGGCGUCCAUUCUAUAUACAGUCUAUGGUUGUGUCAUUGUUGGGAGACGCUGUUGCUGUUUAGUCUUGACCUGGCAUUUAGGGGUUAAUUCAACAGAGUCAGGUUUUCCAGGGGGAAAUUAGCAGCAUUGACGGUAAAAGUGAGGGCAUAGCAUGCAUUGUGGCUUGCAUGCACUCUUUGAGGGUGCAUGUGUCUGCUUAAAGUGUGUGUGUGUGUCUGACUCUUUCAUUCCACAGCUUCUUACAGGGUCAUCUCUGUCUAAACCUCCCUGUCUAAGGAUUUGAAGA